rnacentral:misc_RNA from 1 species
AACUGAUACUACCUGCGGGAACCUGCGGAAGGAUCAUUACCGAGUUUACAACUCCCAAACCCCUGUGAACAUACCACUUGUUGCCUCGGCGGAUCAGCCCGCUCCCGGUAAAACGGGACGGCCCGCCAGAGGACCCCUAAACUCUGUUUCUAUAUGUAACUUCUGAGUAAAACCAUAAAUAAAUCAAAACUUUUAGCAAUGGAUCUCU